rnacentral:rRNA from 1 species
AGACCCGAAACCCGGUGAUCUAGCCAUGGGCAGGUUGAAGGUUGGGUAACACUAACUGGAGGACCGAACCGACUAAUGUUGAAAAAUUAGCGGAUGACCUGUGGCUGGGGGUGAAAGGCCAAUCAAACCGGGAGAUAGCUGGUUCUCCCCGAAAGCUAUUUAGGUAGCGCCUCGUGAAUUCAUCUCCGGGGGUAGAGCACUGUUUCGGCUAGGGGGCCAUCCCGGCUUACCAACCCGAUGCAAACUGCGAAUACCGGAGAAUGUUAUCACGGGAGACACACGGCGGGUGCUAACGUCCGUCGUGAAGAGGGAAACAACCCAGACCGCCAGCUAAGGUCCCAAAGUCAUGGUUAAGUGGGAAACGAUGUGGGAAGGCCCAGACAGCCAGGAUGUUGGCUUAGAAGCAGCCAUCAUUUAAAGAAAGCGUAAUAGCUCACUGGUCGAGUCGGCCUGCGCGGAAGAUGUAACGGGGCUAAACCAUGCACCGAAGCUGCGGCAGCGACGCUGAUGCGUUGUUGGGUAGGGGAGCGUUCUGUAAGCCUGCGAAGGUGGCCUGUGAGGGUUGCUGGAGGUAUCAGAAGUGCGAAUGCUGACAUAAGUAAC